UAGGGAAUCUUCCACAAUGGACGCAAGUCUGAUGGAGCAACGCCGCGUGAGUGAAGGAGGUCUUCGGAUCGUAAAACUCUGUUGUUAGAGAAGAACACGAGUGAGAGUAACUGUUCAUUCGAUGACGGUAUCUAACCAGCAAGUCACGGCUAACUACGUGCCAG
rnacentral:rRNA from 1 species